CACCGGCUGGCUUCCUCCACCUCCACCUUCACUCCCGGGGACGCUGGCGGCUCGAACUCGGACUCAGCCCGGGGAAUCUCCCCAAGAAAGGUAGGAGCGCCAGCCCUGGAGUUAGAUCUGCCUUUGGAUGAGUGUCCUAAUCUCUGCAGAGCCAUAUCCUCCCCUGUAAAAGAAGAGCCACCAGACAUCACCGACUUGGCCAGUAGAGCAGCCAUGUUGUAAGGACACUCAAGCUACCCUAUGAAGAAGCCAGCCUACAUGGCAAGGAACUGACACAUCAAAACCUUGGCAGGUACCUCCAGCCACAAACACCUGCAGCCCCAGCUGCUCCCAG